rnacentral:rRNA from 1 species
CAGUCGAACGGGACUAUGCUGGAAGAAGUUUUCGGAUGGAUUUUGGUAUAGUUUAGUGGCGGACGGGUGAGUAACACGUGAGCAACCUGCCUUCGAGAGGGGAAUAACGGCUGGAAACGGUCGCUAAUACCGCAUAAUAUACAGGAGGGACAUCCCUUUUGUAUCAAAGAUUUAUCGCUCGAAGAUGGGCUCGCGUCCGAUUAGGUAGUUGGUGAGGUAACGGCCCACCAAGCCGACGAUCGGUAGCCGGACUGAGAGGUUGAACGGCCACAUUGGGACUGAGACACGGCCCAGACUCCUACGGGAGGCAGCAGUGGGGGAUAUUGCACAAUGGGGGAAACCCUGAUGCAGCGACGCCGCGUGUGGGAAGACGGUCCUCUGGAUUGUAAACCACUGUCCCCAGGGACGAAGAUGACGGUACCUGGGGAGGAAGCUCCGGCUAACUACGUGCCAGCAGCCGCGGUAAUACGUAGGGAGCAAGCGUUGUCCGGAAUUACUGGGUGUAAAGGGAGCGUAGGCGGGAUGGCAAGUUGGGUGUUAAAUCUACCGGCUCAACUGGUAGUCGCACUCAAAACUGCUAUUCUUGAGUGAAGUGGAGGCAGGCGGAAUUCCUAGUGUAGCGGUGAAAUGCGUAGAUAUUAGGAGGAACACCAGUGGCGAAGGCGGCCUGCUGGGCUUUUACUGACGCUGAGGCUCGAAAGUGUGGGGAGCAAACAGGAUUAGAUACCCUGGUAGUCCACACCGUAAACGAUGAUUACU